rnacentral:rRNA from 1 species
GACGAACGCUGGCGGCGUGCUUAACACAUGCAAGUCGAACGGAAAGGCCUUUUCGGAGGUACUCGAGUGGCGAACGGGUGAGUAACACGUGGGUGAUCUGCCCUUCACUCUGGGAUAAGCCUGGUAAACUGGGUCUAAUACCGGAUAGGACCGCACUUUAGUGUGUGUGGUGGAAAGUUUUUUCGGUGUAGGGUGAGCCCGCGGCCUAUCAGCUUGUUGGUGGGGUAAUGGACUACCAAGGCGGCGACGGGUAGCCGGACUGAGAGGUUGGUCGGCCACAUUGGGAAUGAGAUACGGCCCAGACUCCGACGGGAGGCAGCAGUGGGGAAUAUUGCACAAUGGGAGCAAGCCUGAUGCAGCGACGCCGCGUGGGGGAUGACGGCCUUCGGGUUGUAAACUCCUUUCGCCAGGGACGAAGCGUUUUGUGACGGUACCUGGAGAAGAAGCACCGGCUAACUACGUG